rnacentral:rRNA from 1 species
AGCGAACGCUGGCGGCAGGCUUAACACAUGCAAGUCGAACGCUCGUCUUCGGACGGGAGUGGCAGACGGGUGAGUAACACGUGGGAACGUACCCUUUGGUUCGGAAUAACGCAGGGAAACUUGCGCUAAUACCGGAUACGCCCUUUUGGGGAAAGGUUUACUGCCGAAGGAUCGGCCCGCGUCUGAUUAGCUAGUUGGUGGGGUAACGGCCUACCAAGGCGACGAUCAGUAGCUGGUCUGAGAGGAUGAUCAGCCACACUGGGACUGAGACACGGCCCAGACUCCUACGGGAGGCAGCAGUGGGGAAUCUUCUGCAAUGGGCGCAAGCCUGACAGAGCGGCGUCAUGUGAAGGAAGAAGGCCUGAAAUAGGUUGUAAACUUCUUUUACUGAGUAAUGAAUACUGACAACGCAGUAAAAAAGUAUCGGCUAACUCCGUGCCAGCCGCCGCGGUAACAC